UACAGAGGGUGCAAGCGUUUGUUCGGAAUUAUUGGGCGUAAAGCGCGUGUAGGCGGCUUUGCAAGUCGGGUGUGAAAGCCCUCAGCUCAACUGAGGAAGUGCGCCCGAAACUGCAGAGCUUGAGUGCCGGAGAGGGUGGCGGAAUUCCCCAAGUAGAGGUGAAAUUCGUAGAUAUGGGAGGAACACCGGUGGCGAAGGCGGCCACCUGGACGGUAACUGACGCUGAGACGCGAAAGCGUGG
rnacentral:rRNA from 1 species